rnacentral:rRNA from 1 species
AUUGAACGCUGGCGGCAGGCCUAACACAUGCAAGUCGAACGGUAACAGGAAACAGCUUGCUGUUUCGCUGACGAGUGGCGGACGGGUGAGUAAUGUCUGGGAAACUGCCUGAUGGAGGGGGAUAACUACUGGAAACGGUAGCUAAUACCGCAUAACGUCGCAAGACCAAAGAGGGGGACCUUCGGGCCUCUUGCCAUCGGAUGUGCCCAGAUGGGAUUAGCUAGUAGGUGGGGUAACGGCUCACCUAGGCGACGAUCCCUAGCUGGUCUGAGAGGAUGACCAGCCACACUGGAACUGAGACACGGUCCAGACUCCUACGGGAGGCAGCAGUGGGGAAUAUUGCACAAUGGGCGCAAGCCUGAUGCAGCCAUGCCACGUGUAUGAAGAAGGCCUUCGGGUUGUAAAGUACUUUCAGCGGGGAGGAAGGGAGUAAAGUUAAUACCUUUACUCAUUGACGCUACCCGCAGAAGAAGCACCGGCUAACUCCGUG